AGCUUUGCACAGUGGCAGUAUCAUAGUCAAUGAGGUUUAUCUGAGGCACAAUUAUUGGUAAUUAAAGAUAAACAGAAUCAAAGAACUAAAACCAUUGUCUAAGGACACACAGUUGGUGAAAGAGCCAAGGUU
rnacentral:snRNA from 1 species